GGGCUCGCAGGCGGUUUCCUUAAGUCUGAUGUGAAAGCCCCCGGCUCAACCGGGGAGGGUCAUUGGAAACUGGGGAACUUGAGUGCAGAAGAGGAGAGUGGAAUUCCACGUGUAGCGGUGAAAUGCGUAGAGAUGUGGAGGAACACCAGUGGCGAAGGCGACUCUCUGGUCUGUAACUGACGCUGAGGAGCGAAAGCGUGGGGAGCGAACAGGAUUAGAUACCCCCGUAGUCC
rnacentral:rRNA from 1 species